rnacentral:lncRNA from 1 species
GCUCUAGAAACAUCGUUCCAUUACUGGAUUGAAUGUCCGGCGUACACCAUCGAAAGGACGACUUUAGAAGCAGCAUUGGGUCUUUCUAUCGCCUCCCUUUCAGAUUUAAAUGCGAUCUACUGGCCUCCACCCCAGACGGACUCACGACAACACAUAGUGCAAUUAGAACGCUACAUCGAGUCAACUCGUCGUUUCACGUGACACCAGUAUUACAAUCUUCGCAAUCGGAGGAAAAAGCACCAGCUAUAACCUCCAUAUGACAGAAUAGAAGAAGAAGAAGAAGUCCUAGUGGUCUGCACCUGCGAUGGUUUUGAUUCUUGAUAAAAUUUGCAUAUUCUAACUGUUAAUAAUCAGACAGAUGAUGAUGAUGACUGGUUUCUCAUUAAAAGAAAGUUAAAAAAUGUUUGAAAGAACUGAAGCUGAUGCUAAACUUGCUGUUUCUAGUUCAUCUUUAGAAAUGACACAAGAAUUUAAUUCAGGACUUAGUGAUGAUAUAACUGAAGAAUCAAAAUGGU